rnacentral:rRNA from 1 species
ACGGCGAGUGAACGGAGAAAAGCCCAGCGCUAAAUCAUUUGAUCAUAUUUGAUCAUUUUGAGCUGUAGCGUAUAGGUGUAAUUGUCCCAGUGUUUUGUGCACUCAAAGUCCCCUUGAGCGGGGCCACAGUCCACAGAAGGUGCUAGACCUGUACGGGUGAUGAGACACUGGGUUGAUUGCUCCUUGGAGUCGGGUUGCCUGAGAUCGCAGCUCAAAGUGGGUGGUAAACCUCAUCUAAGGCUAAAUAUGGCCACGAGACCGAUAGCAAACAAGUACCGUGAGGGAAAGUUGAAAAGAACUCUGAGAAGAGAGUUAAAUGAGGACGUGAAACCGCUGAGAUGGAAACGAAUAGAGUUGACGAAACCUACCGUCAUUCAACCGAUCAACUUAACGGUCUUUGGUUGAUGUACCUCGAUGGGCGCUUUUUAAUCGAAGUGUUUCCAUGCGUUGGACAUUGAUUGAAGGUGCUGUUAGGUGUUGCACAUGCGCGCGCGCGCGCGCAAUGUGUGUGUGCGUGUGUGUGUGUGUGUGGUGCGUUCGACCAUGUGAUCGGUGCAUUUGAUGGUGGUAUGCGCUGAGAGCCGCGUUGAUGUACGACAAAACAUUUUGUUGUAGUGGACCGUGCAAAUUUUUGCAUUCGGAAACCUACUCGAUGUGGAAGCGUAUCGUUGAUGCGGUUGCAAUUGCACAUAAGCACUUCCGCUAAUUAUUAAUUAGCGCGUUACUAUUUGACUCAAUGAUUUUUUACACUUAUGCAAUAUGAUCGCGUGCGUAUUGUAUUGUCAAAAGUGGUCAAUUGAUGUUAUAGUUAACGCGUAUGAAGUUGCAUCUCAGUGUGAGCGUCGAUCACCUAUUCGACCCGUCUUGAAACACGGACCAAGGAGUCUAGCAUAUACGCAAGUUAUUGGGUGGUAAACCUCAAUAAAACGCAAUGAAAGUGAAACAAUUGUCUUUUUUGACUCAUUCACAUAUAUUUAAGCCCACUAUCAUGUAUGUGUGUGUGGGUGCGUGUGUGAAAUACCAUGCGCAUCAUCAUCAUAUAUGGUAAUGGGUUAUUAUGGAUAUAUGUGUGAUGAUAUUUAAGGGCAAUUUUUUUUUGUCUUUUUUUUUUUCAAUAUGUGAACUAUACGCGCGAAUUGUGCUCACGGGUACAAUUGAAAAACGUAUAGUGCAACAUAGCCCCGUCUAAAUUGCAUGCCAAUUGGGCGGAGGUAGAGCGUAUAUGCUGGGACCCGAAAGAUGGUGAACUAUGCCUGAGCAGGAUGAAGCCAGAGGAAACUCUGGUGGAGGUCCGAAGCGAUUCUGACGUGCAAAUCGAUCGUCUGACUUUGGUAUAGGGGCGAAAGACUAAUCGAACUAUCUAGUAGCUGGUUCCCUCUGAAGUUUCCCCCAGGAUAGCUGGAACACAUGAAAGAGCAGUUAUAUUCGGUAAAGCGAAUGAUUAGAUGUAUUGGGGACGAAACGUUCUCAACCUAUUCUCAAACUUUCAAUGGGUAUGAAGUUUCGCUUGCUUAAWAAAUGAUUGCAAAAAAAAAGAAUAUAUAUCGAAUGAAGCGUAAACAUUGAAUGCGUGUUCCAAGUGGGCCAUUUUUGGUAAGCAGAACUGGCGCUGUGGGAUGAACCAAACGUCGAGAUAAAGUGCCWAACUUUCCGCUCAUGAGACCCCAUGAAAGGCGUUGGUUGAUAUAGACAGCAGGACGGUGGCCAUGGAAGUCGGAAACCGCUAAGGAGUGUGUAACAACUCACCUGCCGAAUCAACUAGCCCUGAAAAUGGAUGGCGCUUGAGCGGGAGACUUAUACUCGACCGUUGCUUGGCUUGUGUACAAUGUGAGCACCAAAUGAGCGAAAAAAAAAAUUUGGUUUGUUACCUGGCCGCAACGAGUAAGAGGGUCGCAGUGAUUAGCGUUGAAGACUUUGGGCGUAGGCCCAGUUGGAGCUUUCACUGGUGCAGAUCUUGGUGGUAGUAGCAAAUAUUCAAGUGAGAUCCUUGAAGACUGAAGUGGAGAAGGGUUCCUCGUGAACAGCAGUUGGAUGCGGGUCAGUCGAUCCUAAGAUAUUGGCUAAUGCCAUUUGUUGAAUUGAGAGACGGAGGUUCAAAUCCAUCUCGGCAAUCGAAAGGGAAACGGGUUUAUAUUCCCGUACCUGGACACGGAGAUUAAAUAUUCAAUGGGGUUUGAUGGUGUAAGUUUUUUGUGGUAUGUGGUGUGGGGCGUGCAAAUUCUCCUCUCCACAUAUCCGCUUACAUUUUUCAUCAUUCUCUUGUUUGAAUAUUUAGCGCGGUAACGCAAACGAACUCGGAGACGUUGAGCAGAGCCCGAGCCAGAGUUCUCUUUUCUGGUUAAGGAACGGACUCCCUGGAAGCGGUUCAGCCGGCGAUAGGGACGUUGUUUCCGUAAAGCGCCACGGUUCCUGUGGCGUCUCGUGCACUCUGCUCGACCCAUGAAAAUCCGAGGGAGGCAAUUUGAAUUUCGUGCCAGAUCGUACCGAUAUCCGCAGCAGGUCUCCAAGGUGAACAGCCUCUAGUCGAUAGAAUAAUGUAGGUAAGGGAAGUCGGCAAAUUAGAUCCGUAACUUCGGGAAAAGGAUUGGCUCUAAGGACUGGGCCGGUCGGGCUGCAACGCGAAGUGAGUGCGGUUUGAUCCGUGCAGUGUUAACGCCUUAAAUCGGGUUGCAUUUUAUACAAAUGAUUUAUUCCUAUUCCAAUGCUUGUACACGGAUGUGCGCAUAAUUUUAUUCAAUUCAAUUUUUUUGUAUAUGGUGCACAAAUUGCGUGUUUUUUUCCGGCCAAUUUUUUCUAUUGCACCAUACGCGACCAUCAUCGGGCCAAAUGCCGGUUACCAUUGCGGUUUUUGGGUGAAUGCAAUUUGCGUGCGCGCGUGUUGCGCAUAUUUUUGAUAUAUGGUUUGGAAACAAAUUGUAUUGAUGGAUAUGCGCGCGCGAUGUGUGCGCCUGAUUGUUCCAAGAAUCGUUUUUGGUUUCGGUGGUUUUGUUGAUGGUAUGUGGUGUGGUGUGUGUGAUAGAGGAUUGGUUUUUGGGGACACGUAGUUUGGUUUGUGUCCAUAUAUGGAGAGAUGAGUGGAAUGAGAUUAUUGCGUAUGUUGUCACAAGUGGGAAUAGGUGUCAUUGUAUUCAAAGAUGUCCGAUUGAGUGUUUGACUCGGCUAGUGUUUGAACUGUCUUAUGGACCGUUGCAGCUGUGCGUUAUAAUCAUUCAAAGCUUAUGGUUUUUUUAUGGUUUUAAUGCUUCGUCCGGCGCUAAACAGUCAACUUAGAACUGGCACGGACUCGGGGAAUCCGACUGUCUAAUUAAAACAGAGGAGACAGAUGGUCCUUGCGGGCGUUGACUGUCUCUGAUUUCUGCCCAGUGCUCUGAAUGUAAAAGUGAAGAAAUUCAACCAAGCGCGGGUAAACGGCGGGAGUAACUAUGACUCUCUUAAGGUAGCCAAAUGCCUCGUCGGAUAAUUCCCGACGCGCAUGAAUGGAUUAUCGAGAUUCCCACUGUCCCUAUCUACUAUCUAGCGAAAUCACAGCCAAGGGAACGGGCUUGGUGAACACAGCGGGGAAAGAAGACCCUGUUGAGCUUGACUCUAGUCCGACUCUGUGAAGAGUCAUGAGAGGUGUAGCAUAAGUGGGAGGCGUAGCCGCCAGUGAAAUACCACUACUUUCAUCGAUUCUUUACUUAUUCGGUAAGACGAGGAUUGAAUCAAUCAAAAUGAUUCUUGAUUGUGGUGUUGAAGUAUAGCCGCUUGGUGGCCGUACGACUCGCGCCGAAGACAGUGUCAGGCGGGGAGUUUGACUGGGGCGGUACAUCUGUCAAAUGGUAACGCAGGUGUCCUAAGGCAAGCUCAGAGAGGACGGAAACCUCUCGUAGAGUAAAAGGGCAAAAGCUCGCUUGAUCUUGAUUUUCAGUACGAAUACAGACCGCGAAAGCGUGGCCUAUCGAUCCUUUUGAAUUAGAAGGUGUCUAGCAAGAGGUGUCAGAAAAGUUACCACAGGGAUAACUGGCUUGUGGCAGCCAAGCGUCCAUAGCGACGUUGCUUUUUGAUCCUUCGAUGUCGGCUCUUCCUAUCAUUGCGAAGCAGAAUUCGCCAAGCGUUGGAUUGUUCACCCACCAAUAGGG